rnacentral:lncRNA from 1 species
AUGGUGGCUGCUCUGAUCAAAGUCCUCAAGGGCCCCCUUGUGGACCCCAGAAGCCCCUUCCCUUCCUUCUCUCUGCAGCACUGGACACGGUCAGUCUCUUCCCUCCUCAAGUACUUUCUUCUCUCAACAUCUCCCAUGACUCACUCCUGUCUGGACUUGCCCCUGUCUCCCUGGCUGCUGCUUCUCCUCUGCUGCCGCUCUGCAGUCCGUCUUCCCCAGGGCUGCCCUGAGCCCACUUCUCCUCACAGAGCCCUGGGAGGUCAUCUCCCUUGCAGCCUCAAUUUUCAUCUGCACACAAAUGGGCCAUCAGGUCUGUUGCCAGCCCAGUCUUCUCUCCCAGCUCUAGACCAGAUCAUCCGGGCCCUGAAGAUGGGCUCUGUCUGGAGAUCCUGCACCUCAUGCUCACCUUGUCCAAAGUCAACUGUGGCCUCCAUGCUCUGCCCACCACCCCAUCCUUCCCUCCUCACUCCCAUAGCUCAGCUUGGCAUCCCUACUCACUCACUUCCCCAAGCCAGACGUCUGGGGUCCACCCCUGAGUGCUUCCUUUCCUCAUGGCUGAGUUCACUGAAUAGCUGUCAGUCUGUUCCCUCAAACCAUGCAGGCACUCAGGCAUCUUUCAGAUCUUUUAGGUUUUGUCUAUGCUACACCCUCAGCGUCCCUCAGACCAGCCCCUCCCCACUGCAACCACCAAGAACUUUGCCAUUCAGAGCCUGGGUUGCUAUGACGGGCCUUUGUCACCAGCCUCCUGAGAUACAAACUGCUCUGGCGAAAACCCUGUUCCUUAGGGCCCAAACUUGCCUGGCACCUACAACUCGGCCCCAUCUGCCACCCGAGACCAGCCUCCACCCUCUGCCCGCUCUCUUCCUCUGCCUCAAAUACUCUUCUGUCAUCUGCCUGUGUCUGAAGCACCCCACCCCCACUGUACAGACAGGGAAACCGAGGCACGGAGCAUCGACAGAACUUGUCCGAGGUUACAGAGCUGGCAAGUGGCAGAGCUGGACUUCCAAAGGGCUGUGA